GUUAAUGUAGCUUAUAGUAAAGCAAAGCACUGAAAAUGCUUAGAUGGAUUUCCAAAAAUCCCAUAAA
rnacentral:tRNA from 1 species